rnacentral:misc_RNA from 1 species
AAUUCUCAAUCAUGUCUUGAUGCAUUUCAAGGACAUGGCUUGGAGUUGGGGGUUGCUGGUGGCGAAAAUGCUGUCAGCUCUCCUGAAAUGCAUUAGCAAAGGGUGGCAAGUCUUUUCGACGUGCAACGGCCUUCGACGUGAUAAUGAUCGUCGUGGCUGGCGCAUCAAGGGGGAGAUAUGCAUGAAUUGUCCAUUGCUUCCAAUUGUUGAGUCUUUACUUAGCUACUAGUGGGUCAUGAGGCCGACGAACGUUGAGUGGGCUUGUCUGUUUCGAA